GCGCAACGCGGAUUUCAUGCGUCUGCGCUUAAUUUAUUCUAUCCGGUAAUUUGCUUUCAACUGUUUGUGUUCUUCCAAACAAACAAAAGUCGGGGACUAACAGUGACCACUUCGUCUGUGAACCUUCUACCUUCUUUGUGUUCAUGUGGAUCAAGAUACUCAUUAAAAUGAAGAUAUUCUGUGUUCUCGUGUUAUGCACUAUUGCACUAUCAUCUGCUGAACCUGAAGACGAUCCUAAAGGCAUUAUGGGCUACUUGUGUGGACGUAGACUCUAAGAAGCAUUACAAAUGAAUUGUGCUGAUGAAGAACUGAUUUUAUCCCACCUUGAAAACCUACAGGAUGACCACCAACACAAUCACCAAUCAGGUCAAAUAAGGAAUAGACGUUCUUUAACUGAAGAAUGCUGCCUCAAGAGAUGUCAUGUCAAAACUCUUCUCAGCUAUUGUCCUUGAAUGUAAACUCUUUAAGAUCAAUAUCCUCCUUAGAGCUAGUUAAAAAAUUUAUGUAGAAUUGUAGUUGCUAGAAAAUGAUAGACAAUAAAAUGAAUAAUGAAUACAUAGAAGAAA